AGAACUUUUAAAUGAAGGCGGUGCAGGUGGCCCCAUGGGAUGACUCCACUGGUUGCCCAGAAUAAGGACAUUUCUAAAUGGUGGCUGUAUUCAAUGCUCACAGUUUAAUCACUCUUACUUUACAUCUUAAUGUAUACUAAGCAGUCUUAGUCUGUUACCUGAGGUACUUUCUUAGUAUUUGCAACAUAUAUUUGCACAGCCCAAAAAAGCAUAAGGGUUUUGUUUGUACUUUAAAUGAGAAGUAAGGAAAUGAGCUGCCCCGUAUAUCAUGCAUCUGUGAUAUAAGGAAUAGGGGUAAGUUAAAAUCAAAGAGUGUUGUUGAAAGCGCCUUUAAAGAAGGACUAAUUAAGACACAGAGGGCUCUGCCAUGUUGCUGUGCCCAUGCCGGCACUUCCACGCCAGCUAAUUCCGUCUGGUUCGCAUGGCUCUGUGGCUUUCCAGGUGCUGUCCUGAGAAUUUCUAUAGUAAAUACAAGGAUGGGGGUCCCCGCCCUUGAGUCCACCAAGAGCUAGCAAGGUGAUUGUAAAUCCUAAAAAGUUGGGACAUUUUACUUCCCGAUUCUGUUUGAGAGUUUAAGUCCUGUUCCCCCUUCCCCCUGCCCCCAGAUUCUGGUUUUCCCAGUUUAUCCACUGAAUCGACUUUCUGAAAGUAGGACACCAUUGCCCUGACAGAGUGGACAGAAGGCUAGACUCUAGCCCACCGCCUCACCUCGAACCCAGGACCCGUCUCUUGUUGAAUGCACAGCAGUAACUAUUGGGCAGUAGGUGACUAAGGGAAUCAUUAGGAUGGUUUCAGUUACAUUUUUAACACCAACUGAAUAUGUUGUUUUGUAAAAUUCAUCUAUUUUCUUCCAUUUCCACAUGUUCCCCUACAUCUAUUUUAAGAAGGAAACUAAAAAAAAGUCUCAUAAUCUUGCUUCCUUUACCUCCUCUCCAGCUCUUUAUUUUGGAAAUGAGCAGAUUCUCCAAGACCACUUCUGGGAGUUGGAGGGGGUGGAGAUGGCCAGGGCGAGCAGGAUUAAAUUCGUUUGUUUAUUGCUAGUUCAACUAGAAAAAGGGUGAGAGUAGCCAGCACUGACACUCCCCCUCCCCCUCCCCAGCCCUUGUCUUUGUCUUAUCCUGCUUUGCUUCCUUGGAUCAUUCAGCCUACGUCCACUGAAUAUCUGCCACAUGCGGCUUCACUGUCCUUGUUUCAGGGAUGGGACAGGGUGUCCUCCAUGUCCUCCCCUCCGCCACCCUGCAGCCGCCGGCUUCAGGUAUCCGGUCAGUUCUGCAGGAAAUAGAUCUGGGCUUCGGUGCCUGCCGUGUCCCUCAUCCCACGGACCAAAAGUGCUUAUGCCCUACUUGUUUCUAACUGCAGGGGGUUCUGUUAUUUUUGAUUUAUGUCAGGUUAUAAUUCAUGAAGUCACAAGACACGAAGGGUAUUUUCUGAAAUAUUCUCAAACUACGUCACUCUUCCAUUACCUUUUUUUUUUUUCCUCUCUCGAAUGUCUUAAUCAGAAUCUCUUCAGAGUCCUUACUUGUUUGUAAGAUGUGAAGAACAUAGAAGGUCACAAAGAAGUUCUGGUAGACCUAAAGGGCAGAGAAGUUGGGCACCACCUGCUGGGUUGCUGUGUAAAUUGUUGCUUUUAAUAGGGGUGAGAAUCUCAGUGCGGAAAAUUGGCUAGUGAUCCGAUCAGUUGGCUCAUAAUCUCUCUUAACUCAAGGGGAGACUUCAUGCAAAAGGACAUUAUUCGAUUAAAGAUGACAAGGUGUUUCAAACACGUGGUAGUAUUUUGUAGCAGGGGGCAGUUUUUUCCUUUAGGCAGGAAGAAGCUGGAGGGGAAGCACCGCAAGCCAGGGCGAACACAGCUGCCCCCCGGUGGUAGGUCUGUAAACUACACUGUGAAGACGUCUGCUGUUUAUUUGAGAGACUCAACGGAGCAUUCGCAAUCCGUGUGUGUGUGUGUGUGUGUGUGUGUGUGUGUGUGUGUGUGUGUGUGUGUGUGUGUGUGUGUGUGUGUGUGUGUGUGUGUGUGUGUGUGUGUGUGUGUGUGUGUGUGUGUGUUGAUAGGUUUGCUCUUCUCAUAGAACGAUCUCUGUUCAGUGUAGACAGUAUAGUGAUUUUAAGGAGGCUGCUAAGGUAGUUAUCUAAAAAUAUAUCUGAAUUUGUUUGGGGGAGUAGUACUUAAUAUGUUUCAGUAAAUGUGGAGGUUUACCAGUUAAUACUUGAUUAAAUCGAUGGAAGCACCCACAUUUCUCCAUGAGCUGAGCUCUGAACUGUUAUCUCCUCCCUGGAGGUUAGAGGACUCCUCCUUACAUUCAUUGCACAUAUGUUGGACUUACAUAAUGACCCUUUGUCAAUUUCAAGCACGAAUUUUCCAGUUUCUUAAAAAUCUCCCCCUUCCUUCCAUACCGAUGUCAUAAGUUAAAGGUUAAACCCAAGUGUCGUUUGUUGAUAGACUCAGAAGCGUUGUUUAAAGGAAAAGGUUCUUAAUACCUUACAGUUAGAAUCUCACUGAAAAAUAAAUGCUCCAGGCAAGCCAAGAAAGCAUGAACCUCUUCCAUAUUUUUUGGAUGACGUACUGCGUCCUAUCAAUCUCCCCUCAGUGGUAAUGUGACUGUCCCCUCUUUGGGAAUCUAUUUAGGUACGGAACUGAAACUGGAAAGCGGUGUAACACUAAUAUAUACAACGAGGCACCAUCAUCCAUAAUGACCAUAACUGUAACACUUUUUCUCCUAAUUACAUAUUGAAAAUUUCCAAAGUCCAUCUCUCAUUUUAGAGCCCUGUACGAAUGAAUGUUAACUUGACAGUACUACUGAUUAGGAGAAAUUUCUCUUGUUUUUAGACUUAAAUAUUUGCACAUCAUCACUAAGUAUCUUGGGGGAAGGAACAUUUUAAAGUUUCCUCCCUAGAGAGCGAAAUAGAGGCCCUUGUUUGAAAAGAAGUUAAAAAUGAUUUACUUUCAGUACUGGAUGAGUUGGUUGUCUAACUGUUGACCCUUUCUUGGUGUUUGUGAUAGCAGAUGCAUUUAUGUGGAGAAAUUUUUAGUUUCCACCCUCAAUACACACACACGUGAGCUGUACACAUUUUAGAUGAACAAAUAAAACUCCACAGUAUUUUCCAUUACAGUCCUAUAACUUACUAAAAUUUAUAGGAUUCUGCCAUGAAGUAUUAACCCCUGACUCUAGACAUUUGAGGACGAGGGGAUCAACUUCAAAUUAACCAACAACAAUGGCUUGAUUUAAAUAGCAAAAAAUAUAGUUUACCAGAUAGGUAUUAAAAAUUCACUUUCAAAUUGUGUUAACUCUCAGGUCACUGAUGAAUCAUUUAGUAAAACACAGCAGUUUUUAAAAGCUAAAUGAUGCCUUAGUGCCUUGGAAGUUAAGAUACUUUUGCAGAGUGAAUUUGGCAGGAUUCAAGAUUGGCAUACUUGUUACUGGAGAUUUAGAAUUUACGGAUGGUUUUAUUGAAUUAACUCCUUAUGGUGAAUAAAAAUCAGCCAUUUUGCCAUUGACUCCGACAGAUGACAACUACUUUCCUUAUAUUUUCAUGAUGUGGUAUUUGUCUAUAAUUUUUUUCUUUUUACAAGUAAGUUUGAGAUGGAGAAAAAUGUAGUCAAGACAAUGAAGUGUGGGAUUUUAAAAUUCAGUUUUGUCGUAAACUAGAAAUUCUAGCGUGGACAGUGUUAGUUUUAUAUCGUAGUAUUAAAGGGCAGAAACUUUAUGUAACAUUUAGGAAUAUGUUUAUCAUCAGGGAUUUCUUUUUACUAUAGAAAAACUUAAUGUACUGUGAAGUUUAAAGACAGGAAGAAUAAAUGUUAGACGGGGUCACACACAAAAGCAAAGGCAUAUGUGAUGAACUAACCCAUAUUAUGUGAAAACAAUCCCCCCUUCUGUUAAGACUAUAAACUACACUGUAUGAGUAUGUGUACUGCAUGUUUACAUAAUACAGUUUAAUUUUGAAGGAUUAUUUUAAAAACUAUGUUUAUGUAUAAUACCUAACGAGCUGUAAAUAUUGUAUACUAUUGAUUUUUAAUUUUAUAUAAGCGAUUUUUUUAUUUCCCAAUUCAUGUACAAACCUCAUUGUGUAUAUAGCCUGAUUUCCUGGAGAACACAAAUUUUGCAGUGAACUUUAUUUUAAUUGUGGUAAGCAUCAAGUUAGCCUUAGGGAUGUUGGUCUUUAUUUUAAAUUAUUUUUCACCACUCAUUUUCUUCAAAGGGCAGCAAUAAACACAUGCAAGUUAUUUUUGACUCUAGAAAGUUGGUCUGCAAACACAAGAUCUAGGUUCCAAUUCAUUGCUUUAAAGAAAAGAUGCACAAUUACUAUCUACUGUCUGAUCACAGGACCAUUUCUGAGGUCCGUGUGUCUCUCCUCUUUGUAAUAUACAGGGUGAACUCUUUACUGACACACACAGGACAACUGUUAAAAGCGAAUCCAGCACUUAAACGUCAUUACACAGAAUUUAUUGGAUUAAAAAUUUGUAAUAUACAGUAUUUUAAUAAAAUUUCUGUAUUCAAUUUCAUGCACUUAUAUAUAAAUAAACCUGUCUUUAAAAGCUUUA